GGGCCCGUAGCCCAGCCUGGAGAGGGCGCAGGCCUUCGGAGCCUGAGGUCGCCGGUUCGAACCCGGCCGGGCCCA
rnacentral:tRNA from 3 species